rnacentral:rRNA from 1 species
CCUACGGGUGGCAGCAGUGGGGAAUAUUGGUCAAUGGGCGAAAGCCUGACCCAGCAACGCCGCGUGAAGGAAGAAGGCUUUCGGGUUGUAAACUCCUUUUGAUAGGGAAGAGCAUAACACGGUAUAUGUCGAAAACGCCAUGGCGAACUACGUGACAGCAGCCGCGGUAAUAGGCAGGUGGCACGUGUUUCCCGGAUUUACUGGGUGUAAAGGGCGUGUAGCCGGGCUGACAAGUCAGGUGUGAAAUCCGGGGGCUUAACCCCCGAACUGCAUUUGAAACUGUUGGUCUUGAGUAUCGGAGAGGCAGGCGGAAUUCCUGGUGUAGCGGUGAAAUGCGUAGAUAUUAGGAGGAACACC